rnacentral:other from 1 species
GUUCUCCUGGGAUGACCGACACCUCCUGUGUAAUUUGAACCUACAUUACUUUAAACGGGAUUCCUACAUUACCUACCUGAAUGUCACGCCUUCGGCCCUGCGUAUACGCAGACCAGCUACGGGAGAGGAAGACAGGAUCUUAGGUUGCGGUGACCCACCUGGCGAUAGCUAGGAGUCAAAUAACAGGAAACGGCAUUUUGGGAUUAUU